AUGUAUUUCCAAAAUCAAAUUCUAACUAAACAAUCAUGGCAACAAUAAUUAAUAAACUAACUUUUAAUAUUCUUUGUCUUUUCCUUUUUUAUUAUACAUAUGUGUGUUUGAAAAUAAUUAAUUUCAUAUAUACAUUUCGUAAUUACAUACAUUAUACGGUAAUUAUUUUACUAAUUCCACAUAUACAUAAUAAAUAGUAUACAACAAUUUUAUUAUAUAUAGUCAUAAAAUUGUGAUCCACAAAAACAGUUUAUACAACAAUUUUAUUAUAUAUAAUCAUAAAAUUUUGAUCCAUAAAAAAUAAAAAUACAUUUGUGUGACUUUACACGUCAUAUUCUAAAUAAAUAGAUGAUAUAAUUUAGGAUUUGCAUGAUAAAAUAAAACUACUCAAUACAAACUAUAAAACUAUUGUGUUUAGAAAUGUCAUAUUAAAAAAAAAUUAAACGGGUAAAUUUUAAAAUAUAUAUUGUCACUUAUACAAAUAAAUAUUCAUUUAUAAAAAACUAACACCCGCGCGGGUGCGCGGGUCAAGCUCUAGUAAGCUAUUAAAAAUUAUAGGCUAGUCCAACAAUUAAUACAUUUUCUGAAAAUCUUUGAAACCAUCUAUCUUGGUGGCAAGGUCCUUUCUGUUUUACUACCCUUUUUGAUUUUCGAAAUUGAUUCCCAUUAUUAAAUCGGGAUGUGAGUAAAGCUAGAGUCUUUGUUUCUGGGUUUAUCUUAAAACUUGCUUGAAUUUUCUAGGGGUUGUUGAGACAGCUUGUCUUAUGGCCUCUGAUGGUUAUAGCGGAGAGGCUUUUUUAUUCAUUUUGAUGGUAAAGGGUGGCAUGUAAUGAGGUUUCUCUACCAUUUUGAUUCCAGAUGAGCGUGUGGCUACUGAGCUAAAGAAAGCCAUCAUGCAAGCCUGCACUGAGAAGAAGCUUACCCAGUCCCAACUUGCUCAAGUUUAGGGAAGAAUGGUGAGCUGGUGAGAAAAUCGAGUGGGAACAGGAGCCCUAAGUCGAUUGUUGAACCAGCAAAGUAUGUAGAGAAGCCAGCCAAAUGGGGGAAUCAGAAGGUUGCUCCACGAAACAUCCACCAGCCUCGUUGAAGUGGGGAUUGUGUUAACUAGUCAGGGUAUGUUGUAUCUUUAGCCACUAUACCUUUGUAAUUUUUAGUAUUUGCUUUCAACAAGAGAACAUGUGCACACACAUAUAACAACAACAACAAGAAAACAAUGUUUAAAUUUUUUUUUAAGAACCUUUAAUUAAGAGACUAGCAUUGGAGCAUAAAAAUAUUAGUCUCUUAAUUUGGUCUCUUAAGUAAUAUUUAUUGUUUAAAAAUGAUUAAGAGACUCAAAGUGGGUUUUUGGUUUAAUGAUGCUCUUAUUCCUUAUCCUUCUGAAAACAAAAUCAAAUUUUCAUACUUUGCAUUGACUUUGGAUGUAAUACUUUCUAGAUAAUAAUUGGCAAGUUUCUCAAAAUCAUCAUUUCCUUUACUUGGCAGGGGCAUCAGCACCGAGAAGCCAUCAAUGUAAGUUGCUGACUUGUAACACUGAAGAUUACUGAAGAAAGCUCCUCCGUAACUUGCUGCUAUCCUAUCAAGCUCUCUAGACUUGAUUCCUUGCCACCACAUAUGACACAGCCAUUGCAUUAACCCCAUACAUCUACUAUGUUCGUAACAUUGCUCAUAUCGUUUCCACUUAUCAUAUUCAGUUAAUACUCCACCAGGUUCCCAUACUCUUGGACUGUGAUCAACGAGAAUGAUCAUCUGCUCCUUACACUUCCAGUCAUAGCUCUCAAUCCCAAUCAACGCUGCUAAGUUAAAAUCAGUGCAUACAUGAAUCUUUAACGUGAAAUGAGUCUUUGUAGUUAACCCCAACACUUCAUCAUGACUGAGGUACGGCUCUAAACAUUCAAGAGAAACUCCAAUACCAAGAGCAGUAGUCACGAUCUCCUCUUGAAACCGAGCAUCCAUAUCUCCAAAAGGCCUUGAGAAUAUCUUCACAUCAAGCUUUAUCAUCAUUGAACACACCAACUCUAUCAUGUGAAGCCAUCUCAUCAUUCUCAUAGUUGCAGAGCCUACAACUAUUAGAACACAUGAUUUCCUCAUCUCUUGACUCUUUAACAAGCAGUGACAUUAGCUUCUGAUACUUAAAACCAUAAACUGCCAGCUUAACCCAUACUUCUAGAUUAAGAUGAGGAAGUACCUUGAAGCUCAUCUUUUCAUUCACCAUCCAAGUCUGGGUUUCUUCUGCCGAGAACACCUCCAAAGUAUUAUGUAAACAAGUCUCAUGAGUUUUGGCGUUUAACUUUAGCACUACACCAUGCUUGAGGUACUUGUCUAAGCAGUUCCACGGUGCUUGCUUGCCUACAGACCCACCUGGCUCCCAUACAAGAUGAGCCUUUUGAGACUGACAAGCUUGGCUUAUUUUCUCAGGCAAUACAUAUAUUGCCUGGCCAUGUAAAACUGCUUCAGUCUAAAGCAUCUGUCGAUCUGGCUUGACCAGACAUCCACCUGGUUCCCAUAUACGAUCAGCCUUUAGAGUAUGUUCCCCCACCAUGUGUUGGAUCUUAUUACCAAGAGAGAAACUCAUGUUUUCUUCUGCAUCACUUUCGUUUUGUUCUUCUUUCUGUCCUGCAACAUCAAAGAUCUGCAAAUCUGAAGUGAAACUCUCCAGCGAUUCAUAGAAAGAAUCUGGCUUCAUCAUAGUUUUGGUAACAAACUCAUCAGAUUCGACCAAGCUUUCUUCAAGGAUGAGCUCGUCGUUGUUUUUAGUCACCAUGGCCUCGUCACUCUCAGUCACGAGAAUCUUCACUCCUUUGUGCUUCAAAUUAUGAUGACCAGGUGUAUCUCAAUCAUCACAAAAUAUGCAUAACCCAUUUGACAUCCUGUCAUAAACUUCCUCACAUGAAUAUUUCAGAGGCAUCAUGCGCUGAGCAGCCAUGGAAACCGAUUUGCCGAGGAUGGAUGGCUCUGAUACCAUUGUAACAGGGAAACAAGUAAUGAUAGAUGAACAUGAUGAUAGAGAGAGUUAGGGUUUAAGAAGAUUGUUUUAAUGUUUGAUUGAUUAUUCCCAAAGGGAUAAACGUUUACAUAUAGGGUUUACUAAACCAAACGACUAAACCAUAAAGCUAAACCAAUUAUUAAAGAAUUAAACCAAAGAGAUUAAAUAACUAAACCAAAAGGAUAACCAGUUUAUCCUGUCACAUUGCUGCUCUUGCUCUCCCUGUAUAGCUGAAGUUCCCUCUCGUGGCGAACCUACGCAACAAUCACAAGAUAACCAAAAAGACAAUAACUCAAAACCAAUUCUGCCUUACACCAGUCGCAAAAAGACCAAAAAGGAAAGAAACUUGUGCGACACGAAACGAUGUGUGUUUAUGUUUUACGUUCUUGAUGCAACACGCUCACAGGUCCUUUGAUUGCCUUACGGAUCCGUUCAUUGUGUAAUCUUAAGGAGUCUGGAUUUUUGAGUACAGAUUAAAAAAUCAAAUAUACUAUAAGAUUUUCCUUUUAUUCAAUUCUUUUUGUUUUUUUUUUCUUAAGCUUUGUUUCGUUCUUUAUCAUCCAAAUUAAAAAAAUAUAGAAAGAAUGAAAAAAAGGAAAAUCUUGGCCACUAUUUAAUAACCUCUCUCAUUCACUUGUGCGUGCUAAUGUUAGAAAAAAACAAUGUUUGAGAGAGGAGCAAAUUGUUCGUUAAUAAUGUUGGAGAGUGGAGAACAAGCAACGAUUGAUAUUGAGGCAACUGUGUCAUGCAAGUGUUCAUCCAACACUUUAGAGAUAAGACUAAAGCGCCAUACAGAAGUGCUUCUCGUACACCAGCGUGACGGAUCCGUGGACAUUAUCGGAUCACAGAAGGCUCCUCCAUUCCCAAUCCCUCACAUCCUCCUAAAAGACAUCGGUAGCUUUGAUCCGCACAACAUCGACCCUCUUCUCCAAUUAGACCCUGUUUUGUGCAAUCAUAUUUAUGUUAUAAUCGCUUCCAAAGCAGCCGAGGAGCGAGUUCCAGGGCCAUUAUACAUCUCCCUAUACGUCACAGUCACCCCACACAGAUUCAUAGGGGACGAUAUUCCUUUCCCUGAACAAGACGAGGAGAUGGAGACAUGCGGCAUUUGUUUGGAGGAGCUAAAUCCGAGGGGUGAAAUCUAUUUCGACAUGCCAAAUUGUUCUCAUCAGUUUCAUGAUAUAUGUAUAUCCAGGUGGUUGAGGCGUAGCAAGACUUGCCCUCUCUGCCGCACUUUUGCUGAUUAUGAUGAUUGACAACCAUGCAUCUCUUCUAUUUUUUUUUUUUUUUUUGUCAAACUUAUUGAAUUCUGUUUUUUUUUUCUCUAAUUUUUAAUGUUCAUGUCAGAUUUCUUGUCUCUCACUCCUUCCUUGUGAUUAGGGUUCACUUAAUAAUUUCUCGGAUUUUUCUGACCCAUCUUUGAAAGACAUAGUUUACCACUCUGUAGCAUAGCUUCUUAAGGUUAAUUUAUUUGCAACUCUAACCCCCAACAAAUUGUGUUUCUUCAAAAAUCGAUUUGAGACAUCAUCACCAUGUUCCUCUGGACCAAAACUUGACAAGACCAAAUUCCAUUUUUGUACUGAAAACUAUAUGAUUCUAGGAACCAGUCUAAGUCUCUUCUCUGUCUUCACCUUCUUCCUCCAUUUUUCGAACAUAGCUUGUGUUUUGAUAUGUCUGUUCCACUAGCGUUAGAAUUAAAUGAAUCUUCCUCACUCGCUUGCUCGAUCCAACUUUCUGAUAACUUCUUUGAAAUCACGCCAAAAAUCAAGCACUCUUACGCCAAAUACCUUCUUUUGAUAUGUCAUUCAUGUUGAAUCAAUGUUUUUAAACUCUGCUUUUCGUUUUUUAACACAAAUAGUAUACACGCAAAACUCGUGCUUUUUGUUUGUUUUUGAACAACUUCUUUUAACCUUAAAAAAAACCUUAGGAGCCGCAACAACAUGAUCAUGGUUAGAGUUUCGUAACGAGUUGGACAUAUUCUUUGAGAUAAAUACGGUCCUUCAGGUUUUGGAGCGCUACGAUACAUGAUCCGAGUUUUUAUACUCUGGUUCUGACUUCUUGUUUGAGACAAGUUCCAUAAGGUAGAACAACAUUAAAUUAAAAUACAAACCCUAAAACACUUAAAAAAUUCGUCAAAACAGUUUUUUUUCUUAGCCGUCCAUUUUCUAAAGGUUUGAACACUAAUAGGGAGUAACAUGGUCAUACAUAGAUUAUAUAGUUCAAAAAAGACAUGGUCAUAGAUUCCACACAAGUAGUAUACACGCAUACGACAUAUAUUAACACACACGCAGACACACAAAUCUCUUACCACAAAAAUAUGAUCUUAAAAUGGUUGUUUAUGGUCUUCAAAUGGUUUUACUCCACUUCCUAUGUCCUAUCUCCACAAAAUGUACGUAUGAGUGAAGCAUUAUUCCUUAUACUUUCUCAACAAUGAAAUCAAAACUGCACACUUUGAAUUCACUAAUACAUUGGAGUGGGCUGAGACUAUUAUCUCCACUGCCUUUUGGAAGAAGGCAACUGAAGAUAAAAUAAGCUUAAACUAGAGCCAAUUCUCUGUUUGUCUCAGAUCCGAUGGUAACUUAGUUUGACUCAUUAUUACUUAUCUUAUUCACAUAUCUACUAAUAAUAGCAAUCCCAAUUAAUUUAAAAGGUUGUGAAUUUCACUUAUGUUGAAAGGUUGUGUAUUUUCAACAAUUAAAAAUUGUGAUUACUUAAAUUGAAAAGUUGUGACUCUUCAUAUAAGUAUUAUUACAAAAAGACACAACAUUUUAAUUCAAAAGAUAUGACUCUUCAAACAAAUUUUUGAAAAUCUAUAAAUGGUCCAAUGUUCAUGCCUUCUCAAAGCAUAAUUUUCAUUAAUCAAAUAAAAUGGUGAAGAAAAGAACAAUUAAUAAUAGCAAACCCAAACAAUGUUGAAAAAUGGUGUGUUUUAUAGGAAUUUUAUUUUUUUGUUAAAAGUUGUGUCAUUAUAUAUUAAGACAUGUCAUUUCAUUAUUUGUUUCAAGAGGAUGGGGAUACACAUAAAAGGAGAGAUGGCGAGAGAAAACAUCGAGACUGCGGUGGUGGUGAAAACAGACAAGGGAAAAAUUCAGAGAGAGAGAGACACGCUUGUUUGUUUCCAUAACAAAAAAAUUCCACUGUACGUGAUGGAGAAAAUCUGUAGGACCCUUGAUGAUGUCGUCUCAUGGUUUGGUGCGGUUGUUACGCUGCGGGGAGUUAAACCCAUUUUGAAACUCAUUUUUCAUGAAGUUAUUUAUUUUCUAUGGAGAGAGAGGAAUACCCGACAUCACUCCUCUGUUCUAAAACCGGCCUCCUUGGUCUUGAUCAAGAUACUGCUUCUAAGAGUCUGACUUUGCCUAAUGUGAAUCCACUCCCCGUUAAAUUCAAAAUCGGUAGAAAAGAAUUCAUCAAAAUAAAACAUCAACAUCAUUAUUAUUUUAGAAUCAAUUUUUUAUUUUAUUUAGAAUCAAUUUUGUUUACCCCAGGACUCAUACAUCACUAGCUUUAGACAUUCAUAUUCAAAACCGAAGGAUUUCAAAAAAUAACAUUUAAUGCAAGAAUUGAUUGCUCGCUUGAUUCAAAAAUGGGAAUCACAAACUUGAAGGAGAUGAAGCAUUUCACUGAGCCAAGAACUUUUGCUUGUCGAUGAAAAUGUAGGCUUUAUAAUAAGUAUUUUAAAUUUUGAUUCUGUUUAUUCAUCUAUUUAAAUUUUAUCCUUUUUAGAGGAUUUGAUAUAAAAGCUACUAUUGAUCAUCCGCUAAUACAUUAUACACUUUCAAAGAAGGAUAUAUCUACCAUAUUAGUAACUUUGACAUAAAAACAAUUAAUGAUCUAACUGUGAUCGAGAGAGAAGAUUAGUUUACUGUCCCAAGUGAGCGAGAAGAUUUUACGGCUUUUCGAGAAUGACGACCAACUGGAUCAGACGCUAAUGAAUGGAAUCUCCCAAGAGAAUAUGAAUAACAACCUUAUGCAGGAAGCCCUGGAAGAAAGGUGGCCAAAGUAUAUUACACUUUGCUGCUGUUCUUGGUUACAGAUGGGUAUCAGAACCUACAGUAGUUGCUGGUGUAAGUGUUCAAGUGGAUUGUUCGUUGGCCAAAAAAUAAAACGCAAUUCACUCCAUCUCAUCCCACGCAUUCCUAACCAUUCAAAAAGAUAAUGGAUUAAAGAGACAUUCAAAUAGCGUCAAUUGGAUUGAUUUAUGUUCCUGGAGCAAGCGGUGAAAAGAAAAUUAAAAGUGGCAGAAAUCAAACAAGAUAUCAAACAGACAUCAAACACGUGCAAGAGAAAGAUUAAUUUAUGUUCCUGGACAUCAAACAAGAGAUCAAGACAUUGAUUUAUGUUCAUGGACAAAUACGUAUUUCAAAAAAAAAGGAGGAAGAUUAACACAAAUUAAAAGUGGCAGAAAUUAAUUCCUAAGAAUUGUAUCUUUUCAUCAAAAACUGAAAUUAAUUUUGUUUUUCCAACAUGCAACUAUUGGAAUUUUGUUUUAAAAUAGUUAUAAUAUUUUAAUAAGUGUCUUUUUAAAAUUAUUAGGUUUAAGAGUCAUGUCUUCUCAUUAUAAAAGUUGUGUCUCUUCAGGACAAUAAUUGAGAUUAAUUUAUUUUCCAGUAUGCAAUUAUAGGAAAGUAAAAAUAAAAAGUAGUUACAAAUAUAUCAAGAAGUGUCUUUCUACUUUUUUUGGAAUGCAACUACUGAAAUUUUCUUUAAAACUAUGUAUAAUAUUUUAAUAAGUGUCUUUAUUAGUUUUGAAAGUCAUGGAUUCUAAUUAUAAGAGUGUGUCUUUUCAUAAAAAAAAUUAUGUUUUUCCAACAUGAAACUAUUAAAAAAGUUUUUCAAAGUAGCUAAAUCUCAAUCAAUAAGUGUCUUUAUACAAUUCUUAGUAUUAAGAGUUGUGUCUUCUCAUUAUAAAAGACAAAUUAAUUUUCAAUUAGUUGUUAAAAUAUCUCAAUAAGUGUCUCUUUUAUAAUUAUGUGUCUUUUCAUAUGCAAUAGAAUGUCUUUUGUAAUGUUUUGUUUAUUCAUAAUAUAUUGUAAAUGUACUAUUUUAUAGUAACUAAAUAUUCUUGAAUCCAAAAAAAAGUUAAAAGUUGUUUGUUUUCAUAUUUAAAUGUGCUUUUUUCAUCUUAAAAGUUGCUUUGAUGUAAAAGAAGUUAGCAAAAUAUAUAAGUAUGUAUUUUUCAUCUUAAUAUCAUGUCUUUUUGUUUUAAUAAUUAUAUUAGUUAAAGUUUUUUAAAUGUCUAAAAUAUAUGAGGAUGAUUUUUUUAACAGUUUAAGUGAAUCAUUGCAAUUAUUUGGUGGAACAGUUACAACUGAUUAAAUAGAAGAUUGCAACUGUUGAUCAUAUAAUUUUUAGUAAUGAACCAUUGCAAUUUCUCGUGAUUAACCACUGCAACUGUUGGUGAUUGUAAUUCUUGGUGAUAACUCAUUGCAACUUUUGGUAUUAACUAACCAUUGCAAUUUUUCAUCUUCUAUAUAAAAAGUUUUGGACGUUAACAAAUUAAAAACCAGAAAAUCACAAAAAUCACAAAUAAACUAGAAAAUAGAGAGAUUCAUUGUUAAUGAUCAUUAAAGAUCUUUGAAAACACAUAUAAACAUGAACUCUUUUUGUUAUGCUUAUAUCUUAACCUAAACAUGUAAUUUUUUUUGAAAAACCAAUAACAUUCUAGAGUAUUUUUAUCUCAAUAUUACUUCGACUGAAUAAGAAAGGAUAUGAUGAUUAUACUUUAUGAUUCUUGUGAUGAAAUCAAGCCAUGACAUUAAUUUCGACUUGUUCUAAUUCAACCCUAACAUUUUAUUUUAUU